ACGAACGCUGGCGGCGUGCUUAACCCAUGCCAGUCGAACGGAAAGGCCCUGCUUUUGUGGGGUGCUCGAGUGGCGAACGGGUGAGUAACACGUGAGUAACCUGCCCUUGACUUUGGGAUAACUUCAGGAAACUGGGGCUAAUACCGGAUAGGAGCUCCUGCUGCAUGGUGGGGGUUGGAAAGUUUCGGCGGUUGGGGAUGGACUCGCGGCUUAUCAGCUUGUUGGUGGGGUAGUGGCUUACCAAGGCUUUGACGGGUAGCCGGCCUGAGAGGGUGACCGGCCACAUUGGGACUGAGAUACGGCCCAGACUCCGACGGGAGGCAGCAGUGGGGAAUAUUGCACAAUGGGCGGAAGCCUGAUGCAGCAACGCCGCGUGCGGGAUGACGGCCUUCGGGUUGUAAACCGCUUUCGCCUGUGACGAAGCGUGAGUGACGGUAAUGGGUAAAGAAGCACCGGCUAACUACGUG
rnacentral:rRNA from 1 species